ACGGGAGGCAGCAGUGGGGAAUAUUGCACAAUGGGCGAAAGCCUGAUGCAGCGACGCCGCGUGAGCGAAGAAGUAUUUCGGUAUGUAAAGCUCUAUCAGCAGGGAAGAUAAUGACGGUACCUGACUAAGAAGCACCGGCUAAAUACGUGCCAGCAGCCGCGGUAAUACGUAUGGUGCAAGCGUUAUCCGGAUUUACUGGGUGUAAAGGGAGCGCAGGCGGAAGGCUAAGUCUGAUGUGAAAGCCCGGGGCUCAACCCCGGGACUGCAUUGGAAACUGGUCAUCUAGAGUGUCGGAGGGGUAAGUGGAAUUCCUAGUGUAGCGGUGAAAUGCGUGGAUAUUAGGAGGAACACCAGUGGCGAAGGCGGCUUACUGGACGAUAACUGACGCUGAGGCUCGAAAGCGUGGGGAGCAAACAGGAUUAGAUACCCUGGUA
rnacentral:rRNA from 1 species